rnacentral:rRNA from 1 species
ACGCUGGCGGCAGGCCUAACACAUGCAAGUCGAGCGGUAGAGAGAAGCUUGCUUCUCUUGAGAGCGGCGGACGGGUGAGUAAUGCCUAGGAAUCUGCCUGGUAGUGGGGGAUAACGUUCGGAAACGGACGCUAAUACCGCAUACGUCCUACGGGAGAAAGCAGGGGACCUUCGGGCCUUGCGCUAUCAGAUGAGCCUAGGUCGGAUUAGCUAGUUGGUGGGGUAAUGGCUCACCAAGGCGACGAUCCGUAACUGGUCUGAGAGGAUGAUCAGUCACACUGGAACUGAGACACGGUCCAGACUCCUACGGGAGGCAGCAGUGGGGAAUAUUGGACAAUGGGCGAAAGCCUGAUCCAGCCAUGCCGCGUGUGUGAAGAAGGUCUUCGGAUUGUAAAGCACUUUAAGUUGGGAGGAAGGGCAGUUGCCUAAUACGUAACUGUUUUGACGUUACCGACAGAAUAAGCACCGGCUAACUCUGUGCCAGCAGCCGCGGUAAUACAGAGGGUGCAAGCGUUAAUCGGAAUUACUGGGCGUAAAGCGCGCGUAGGUGGUUUGUUAAGUUGGAUGUGAAAUCCCCGGGCUCAACCUGGGAACCGCAUUCAAAACUGACUGACUAGAGUAUGGUAGAGGGUGGUGGAAUUUCCUGUGUAGCGGUGAAAUGCGUAGAUAUAGGAAGGAACACCAGUGGCGAAGGCGACCACCUGGACUGAUACUGACACUGAGGUGCGAAAGCGUGGGGAGCAAAC